rnacentral:tRNA from 1 species
GGGGCUUUAGCUCAGCUGGUAGAGCGCUUGCAUGGCAUGCAAGAGGUCAGCGGUUCGACCCCGCUAAGCUCCACCA